GAUUCAGUAACCCCAACAAAAGAAAGUAUUCAUUAAGAUUGUGAGAUGAAUCACCCGCCUUAUGUCCAAUGCAGAGGGAAUAAAAACUUCCCAUAAAUGACUUGGGUCAUUUAGAAAGUGGCCUUUUAAAGUGAAAGGCCAUGAGCUGAGACUGAUACCAAAGGUGUAUGGUCUCUCAGGGACACCACAGUGCUGAGCAUAAGACCAAUCAGAAAUAAGUGCUUGGUAAAUUAAAGUUGAAAUUCCCAAAGAGAGCUUUAAAUUUUUUUUCCACCCAGGAUUUGUCAGUGAUUUAAUUGCAUUGCUUUAUGUUAGUCUGGAGGAUAAAUAGGCUUUAACAUCCCAACUAAGUGUUGUACCUCAGCCCUCAGACUGGUACUAUCAAGAAUGAGAUGGUGCCAUUUAUUUGGCAAUGCUUUGUCAACCUCAGGGAUAGACUGAACACUGAGAUAUCACAAAUCCUGACUCAGACUCCUUCUGAUUUGUUUAUAAAUAAAUUGUUUAUCUUUUAUUUAAUAAACAUGUAUAAACAAAAUUAUUGUGAUUCCUAACAAUUAAUCAGAAUAUAUCCUCUCUGACUGAAAAUGGCCCCAUCUUCAGGAAUGGGCUCUGCCCGCCAGAUUCAAACUCCAACUGUCAUUCUCCCCCCAGAGCCUGUCACACGCCUCCAACCCCCACAUAAUGGAGCCAAGACUGAACAGUCUAUGUCCUGCAAAGGGCCAAAUCCCCAAUCCAAAUCCUAAAUCAAGCCUAAAUCCUUCACAAUGUUACAUGUGAAAGGGCAACCAAACACUAUGCUAGUGGGUUUAAUAGCUUGACAUUGGUCUAUAAAGAAAUUUCUUGUUCAGGCAUCUGAAAAGGAACCUGAUUAAACUAGAUGUUUUGAGGUCCUUCCAACUCUCAAAUUUUGAGAUUCUGUCUGAUGUUGAGUUGUGGAGGGUUUUGGCCGUAAAUCAAAUUUAGCCAAGGGUAAAAUGUUACCCGUUUCUUGAGAAUUUAAGCCUGAGAUGUGGCAGCCUUACAAUGGACAGACUGAACACUGAGAUAUCACAAAUCCUGAUUCAGGUUUUGUGCGUUCAUAACGAAAAGAAAAGACUGAUAGGCUCGCAGAACUGAAUAAUGGUGAUGAAUCCAUGGAGAUCCCCCUCCUUAGCAAGUGGGGACACAAAACUCUUUAUUCAUCUCCUUGCUCAUUCUUUUAGGCUAUGAUUUCUGACAGCCUUCCGUGGAGCCAACUUUGCUUCUUCAGAGAUCUUCCCUCCCUUGUACCCAGCUCCUAUUUAACUGCUGGCGUUUGAUUUGUUAGCCCCACCAAGUUAGUUGCUUCAGUUAAAUGCCCUGUUAGUACUAAUGAUUCAAGAAGCACUCUCUCUGUUUGAAACUGUCCCAUUCCUCAGGGAUAGGUUAUCCCCGCCUGAUUCUAACUCCAACUGUCAUUCACAGAAUCACAGAGCUACAGAAUUUUAGAGCUAGAGGGACUUUAGGCAGUCAUCGAGUACAGCCAGACAGGAGCUCUUCUCUGGACAUGGGAUGAUAAGGGAGCUGGCUCUAAGACUCUAUCACCAGCCCAUAUAUUCCUCAUACAAAGGACUCUAAGCUCAAUAAUCCAAGAACUUCAAAGCACCAGGUCACCAAACUGAACUCUAAUGACUCAUAAAACAGCUUUGCCAUUUCAAACAGCCAUUUUUUUUAAAGCUAAUGCCCACAUUUCCUGUUAUCUCAUAAAUCGGGUAUGACUAAAAUGUGACCAGAUUGAUAUCCACAAAUCAGUAAAAGACAUGAUCUGUGAGAAAGUAGAGACUCAUUCACCUGUUGACUUACAUACAGCACAAUGCCUCAGACAACCUAAGGAGGCAUUAAAAUGAACUAGCAAUUGUGUUGUACCCUAGAAAUUUUUUUAAACUGUUUUUAUUACAGCUUGGAAGCUGGCUCUUAGCCCAAGGGGCAAGAUAAGCCAUAGGCAUAAGCAUAGUUUUCCCUUUUUCUUUCUCUUCCACUCUGAAUCAUUUUGGGAAAGAAUGUAUAAGUAAGAUCUAGUGUUAAGAAAGAGUUAAAAUAUUUCUGUCUCUUGUUAGGACAGACCAUCUCUACAUGGAAGUGAAAUUCAAAAUGGUAGUGUGAUAUGAUGCAAACAGUACUAACUGUCAGAAUCCCUGGGUUGUUGUUUCUAUUUCAACUGUUAACCAUUCACCUCAUUGUGUGAGUUUAUGUAGGGAUACUGGUUUAUACCUGACUCAUGCAUACAGUUUUGUGAUUCCAUUGGUUUUGGGAACUCAUACUAGAGAAACAUCCUUUACCCUACGUAGAGAUUCAACUCCUCUCAACAUGGAGAGGUCCAUUUUUUAACCCAAGGAUUCAGAACUGAUAUAUAUUAGAAGAGAAACUUGAACCCAGCUCUUCCUGACUCAGAAGCCAGGUCUUCAUCCACUAUACUGCUUGCCUUUUAAACCAUCUAUUAAGGACCUAAAUUUAGCACAAUACUCUGAAAAAAUUAUUUACUGCCCACCCUUCCCUAGGAAUUUUACAGUUACUUUUUGUUACCUCAGUUUUCCAGUGAUAUCAAGGCUUUGGAGUAAGAGAAACUAUUCUUAAAAGAAUGCUUAGUAACCCAUGCUCUUAGGAAACAUAAUACUUCAUGAUGUAUUGGAAAAAUCAUAAGGAGACUAAUGUUCUGCUCUCUGUUUUGCUAGUCAUGUGACUAUAGGAAAGAAAACCAUGGUCCCAUUUUUCUUAUCUAUAAAAUAAUGUUGGGAUAAAAUUAACUUUAAGAUUCCUAUCACCUAUAUAAUUCUAAUAUUGGUGAUUUUUUAAUCUCAAAUUCAAAUCUUGAUUUUAUAGACUUACUUGGAGUAGAAGGGGAAGGACUAAGACAAAGAAUGAGGGUAGAUUAAAAGGAAUCAGUGAUCAAAGAACAAGCAGAUUUUUGAGGAGGAGAAAUGAAAAGGGGUUUUAAAAAAGAGAAAGAUAAAUAAAAAAGAAUAAAACAAAGGGGAUAUAUAGUUAGUUAGCCAUCAUAACUGUGGGUGUGAAUGGAAUAAACUCAGUCCUAAAAUAGAAGAAGAUAUCAGAAUGAAUUAGAAACCAGAAUCUAAUAAUAUAUACUGUAGGAGACACACUUGAAGCUGAGACACAGGGAGUUCAAAUAAGGAACUAGAGCAGAAUUUACCAUGCUUCAGCUGAAGUAAAAAAGGCAAGGAUAGCACUCAUGAUCUCAAAGAAAAAGAAAACCUAAUUAAAAGAUAUUAGUAAAUUACAUUUUGUUAAAAGAUGUCAUGAACAAUGAAAUAAUAUCAAUACUGAAUAUAUUUGCUUCAAAUAGCAUGGUAUUCAAAUUCUGAAGAAAAAAUUUAAUGGCUUAUUGAGGAAAUACUCAGUAAAACCAUACAAGUAGGGAACUUCAAUUUACUCUUCUCCAAUUUAAGCAAAUCUAACUAUAAAAAGAAUACAAAAGUUACAAAGAUUAAUAAAUUUAAGAAAAGUUAGAUAAAAUAGACUGGAAAAUACUGAAUGGAAAUAGAAAGGAAUAUAUCUUUUCUUAGUUGUCUUUGGCACUUUCAAAAAUCUGUCAUGUGUUAGAUCAUAAAAAUCUCACAAAUUCAGAAAAACAGAAAUAUUAAAUGUAGUUUUUUCAGACCAUAACACACAAAAAAAAUACAUUAAAUAAAGGGCAUUUGAAGUCUAGAUUAAAAAUUAAUUGAAAACUAAAUAAUCUAAUUCUAAAGAAUGAGUGGGUAAAAAGAAACUAUAGAAAUAAAAUUUUCACUAAAGAUAAUGGUGACAAUGAGACAAAAUAACAAAAUUUGUACAAUGCAGCUAAAUCACUACUUAAUGGGAAAAAAAUAUUUUGAAAUGCUUACAUCAAUAAAAUAGAGAAAGAGCUGAUCUGUUGAUUGAGCAUGCACCUAAAUAAACUAGAAAAAGGACAGAUUAAAAAACCCCAACUAAACCCCAAAAUAGAAAUCCUUAAAAAUAGAAAGAUGAAUAAAGUUAAAAGUAAAACCAAUCUUGAAUUAAUAAAUAAAACUAAGAGUUGGUCUUAUGGAAAAAGUGAAUAAAACAGAUAAGCCAUUGGCUAAUUUAAUGAUAAGGAAAAAUAAAAAGUUUCAAAAAUGAAAAAAGUAAAUGUAUAACCAAUGAAGAUGAAAUGAAAGCAAUAAUAAUUACAAACUAUUUUGCCCAAUUCCCCUCUUGGAUCACUGCCUUGUGAUGGUAGAGGGGCUUGAGUAGUCCAAUGAAACUAGGGGCAAGACAAAUAGGUCAUAGUGCAGAGUUCUGACAAAAGGUGAUACACUGGAAAAGAAUAUGACAAACCACUCCAGUAACUUUACCAGGAAAAUCACAAGAAGAGUAUUAAAAUGCGAAAAGAUAUGAUAUUAGAAGAUGAGCCCCUUAGGUCAGAGGUCCGCAUAUGCUUUGGUCUAUGGGGUCAUGAAGAGUCAGACAUGACUAAAUGACUGAACACAGAACAUUUUUGCCCAAUUACAAGCAAAUAAAACUGACCACCUAAAAUAAAUGGAUGAAAAUUUACAAAAAUAUUUAUUGUUCAAAUUAACAGAAAAGAAAAGAGAAUAUUUAAAUAACUCCAUCUUGGGGGAAAAAUUGAAGAAGCUAUCAAUGAGCAUCCUAAGAAAAAAAUCCCAGGACCAGAUGAAUUACAAGACAAUUCGACCAAACAUUUAAAGAAUGAUAAAUUCCAAUAUUGUGUUAAGUAUUUGUAAAAACAAAUAAAAAAAUAAUUUUAUCAAAUUCCUUCUCUGAUACAAAUACAGUUUUGAUACGUAAACCAGGGAUAGUAAAAACAGAGAAAGGAAACUAUAGAUGAAUUUCCCUAAAGAAUAUUAAUGCAAAUACUGUUAAUAAAAUACAAGCAAAGAGAUUAGAGCAAUAUUUCACAAAGAUCAUACAAUAUGACCAGGUAGGGGAUACACCAGGAAUGAGGGCUGGUUUAAUAUUAGGACAACCACAAAGAUAAUUAGCCCUAUUAAUGAUAAAAGUAACAAAAAUCAUAUGAUUAUACCAAUCAAUAGAGAAAAAGUUUUGAAAAAUGCAAAACCUCUUCCGAUUUAAAACACUAGACAGCAUAGGAAUCAAUAUAGUUUUUUAAAAUGAGAAAUACUAUCUAAAAACCAGAACAAGCAUUAUCUAUAAUAGGAAUAAACUAGAAACCUUCUCAUUUAGAUCAGCAGUAAAGCAAGAAUGUCCAUUAUCACCAUUGUUAUUAGGAAUUGAAGGAAGAAUACAAAAAGACAAUGAGGAAACAAAACUAUCAUUUUUUGCAAGUGAUAUGAUGGUAUACUUGGAGAAACCUAGAGUAAAUAACAAAUGACAUAAAACAAACCAUUAACAUUUCUAGAAUUACCAAAAAAAUUCAGCAGGAAAAAGUAGAGAAAUUCCACUUAAAAGAACUAUAGAUGGUAUAAAAUAACUGGGGGUCUACUUACCAAGACAAUGCCAGUAACUCUAUGAACACAAUCACAAAACAUUUUUCAGGGACAGCUGGUGGGUUCAGUGGAUAGAAAGCCAGGUCUAGAGAUAGGAAGUCCUGGGUUCAAAUUUGACCUCAGACACAUCCUAGCUGUGUGACCCUGGGCAGGGCAUUUAAGUCCCACUGCAUAGCCUUUACCAUUCUUUUGCCUUGUAACCAAUACUUAGUACUGAUUCUAAGAAGAUAAGGACUUUUAUUUAAAAAAUGAAGACCCCACACAAAUAUAAAUCUAAACAAUCAGAGAAAUAUUUAUUGCACAUGAAUAGGAUGAGCCAUUAUAAUAAAAAUGAAAAUACUACCUUAAUUGGUCAGUGUCAUACCAAUCAAACUGCCAACAAAUUAUUUUCUAGAGCUAGAAAAAAAUAACAGAAUUCAACUGAAGGAACAAAAAAAGGAAAGGAAUAUUAAAAAGAAUCUAUAGGUGGGGUGGGGGAGGGGAGGAAGAGGGAGAGGGGGGUAAAGGAAAAUAACCAGAAGUACCAGACUCAAAAUAUACUACAAAGCCGUAAUCGUCAAAGCAAUUUGAUACUGGGUGAGAAAUAGAGUGAUUGAACAAUAGAAUACAUUAGUCUCACAAUAUAUGGAAAGAGUAAAUUACCACAUUAACCUAGUGUUUAAUAGAUCCAAAGAUUUCAACUUUUGGAGCAAGAAUUCACUAUUUGACAGAAAGUGCUGGUAAAACUGGAAAGUAAUCUGCCAGAAACAAGGCAUAGACCCAACCCUCAUACAUAUACCAAGAUAACCUGAAAAUGGGUAUAUGAUUUAGUCAAAUAGCGGUAUCAUUAGCAAAUUAGAAGAACAAAGAAAAAUUACAUGUCAAGUCUAUGGAUGGAUAAGGGAAGAGUUCAUGACUAAACAAGAAAAUAGAGAUCAUGAGAGGUAAAAUGUAUGAUUUUGAUUACAUUAAAUUAGGUUUUGCACAAAAACAAAGCCAAAACUAAAGGGAAAGCAGAAAACUGGGUGGGCGGAUGGACUUUCACAAUUAGUUUCUUUGAUAAAAUGCCAUAUUUCUCAAAAAAUAAGGAACUGAUUUUCCCCAGGAUCACAAAGACAUUACAUGUUAGGGGUAAGACUUAAACCCAGGUCUUUCUGAUUUCAAAAUAAGCUGUCCACUGUGUCAUAAUAGUUUUCAUAGUGACAACAAACAAAACUAAAAAAUGGUUAUUUUAAAAGAUUAAUAAAAGUCUUCAAAUCCUCUAAAAUAGGAAAUUUAUAGUACUACAGUGAACAGGAUAAAAUCACAACAAAUAAAGAAAUAAAAAAGAAUUAUCAUAACAUUCUUCCCAGUUGUAUUCUAGCAAAACCAUAACUUUAAAGUAAAUGGAAAAUUACUACCAAAAUAUAAAAUAACCAUAAUAAGAGAACAUGAGAGAUCUUAAUACAAUCUAAGAAUAUGAUUUUUUAAUGUUAUUUAGUCAAUUUAGAACAUUAUUCCUUGUUUACAAGAAUCAUAUUCUUUCCCUCCCUCCCCUCUCCCCUUCCUUCCUGUAGCUGGCUCACAAUUCCACAACUCCACAAUUCCACAAUUACAUGUGUCCUUGAUCAGAACCUAUUUCCAUGUUGUUGAUGUUUGCACUAGGGUGAUCACUUAGUCUACAUCCCCAAUCAUAUCCCCUUGACUCAUAUGAUCAAGCAGUUGUUUUUCUUCUGUGUUUCUACUCCCACAGUUUUUCCUCUGAAUGUGAAUAGUGUUCUUUCUCAUAGAUCCCUCCAAGUUGUUCAGAAUCACUGCAUUGCUACUAAUGGAGAUAUCCAUUACCUUUGAUUGUACCACAGUGUGUCAGUCUCUGUGUACAAUGUCCUCCUGGUUCUGCUCCUUUCACUCUGCUUCAAUUUCUGGAGGUCUUUCCAGUUCACAUGGAAUUCCUCCAGUUUAUUUUUUCUUUGAGCACAAUAGUACUCCAUCACCAACAUAUACCACAAUUUGUUCAGCCAUUCCCCAAUUGAAGGGCAGCUCCUCAUUUUAAGAAUAUGAAUUUUUAAAUGUUAUAAAGAUAUUAUUAAAGAAAAAAAUCCUGGCCUAAUCAGAUUUAUCGGUAAAAUUAUCAAAUGUUCAAAGGGUAAUAAAUAUCUAUGUUAUGAAUUAUUCUCAAAAAUUCAGAAAGAAAAUAGUCUAUUAAACUCUUUUUAUAUGACAAAUAUUCCUAAAACAGAGAAGGAAAAAAUCAAAGAAAGAUAAUUAUCUAUCAAUAUCAUGUGGAGGCCCGAAGGAAAAGGCCUUGUAUCUCUUUCUUAUUAACAUGAAUAAUUUCAUCUUAAAACUAGUCCCAGGUUCAGGCAAAGUAAAAUUUUCCUAUUCCCUAUUCCUGUUAUCUCCUUGAGAAAAAGAAGUUGCCUUAUUCUAUUUGCAAAGCUAAGGAGAAAUAAAACAAGUUUUUUCCCUCAAGUAUAAAAAGUCAAUUAUAUGCUCAGUUUGAUAGAAUUCUUCCUUCUAAUUCCUUGCAAUGACUUUAUGUCCCUAAAAUAAAACAUUGGAUAAUCAUUGUUCAUGCAUGGACCCUGGCAGUCUAAAAGAGAAUGACACUACCAAAACUAAUUUUGUUUUAGUGAGAUAUCAAUCAAACUACAUACUAAGUGGUUACCUUAAAGAUUUAUUCAAGGUAACAAACAAAAUUCAUUUGGAAGAACAAAUAGUCUAAAACAGUGAUGGUGAACCUAUGGCACAGGUGUCAAAAAUGACUGCUCCCCUCCCCCUCUCCCUCCAGGCCUGAGGACAUUUUUCAUACACCCUGCCCCUCAGCCCAGCAGUCCAAUGAGAGCACUUUCUCACUCCUCUGGGUGGGGCAAGGGGUGGGUCAUGCCUGGCACUCUUGGGGGAGGGGUACAUCACAAGGUCUCUGGGGGAUGGGUGGGCACAGCAUUCAGUCUAAGGGAUGGAGUGGUAGUAGGGGCCAACAUUCUAUCUCUAAAAGGUUCACCUUCACUGGUCUAGAAUCUCAAGGGAAAUGUUAAAUAUCAAAAAAGUGAAAGACAACUAGUAAUCUGAAAUUAUAAGGUAACAAUCAACAAAACUAUUUGCUAUUGGUUAAAAUUAGAAAAGUGAAUCAGUGGAACAUGAUAGGCAAGGAAAAGAAUCAAUUAAAAAUAAUAGCCUAGUGUUUUGUAAAUCUUAAAAUAUAAAUGACUGGAAGAAGAAAUUCUUGAUCACAAGCCACAAGUAGAUACUGACCUGAAAUAUAAAUGGUGUUAUAAAAAAUUGGAGGAAAAUGGAUGGUGGUAUAAGAUAAAGCAAAUAAUUUCAGUUACUUCAAAUUGAGAAGUUUUUUGCACAAACAGAAUUAAUACAACUAGAAAAAGAGGAGAAAUUGUUGAAUGAGAAAAAAUAUUUUCAAUUAAUUUCUCUGACAAGAUUGAUAGGAUUAUAUGGAGAAUUAAUAACAAAAAAAUUAAAAAAUUCUCCAUUAGAUAAAUGGUCAAAAAUAUGAGCAAACCCUUCUCAAAAGAAUUAUAAACUAUUAACAAUGAUAUGAAAUUCUGUUCCAAACCAUGAAUAAUAAGAGAAAUACCCAUUAAAAUAACUGUGAGGUUUUACCUCAUACCCAGCAAAUUGGCAAAGAUUACAGAAGUUGACAACAGGUAAUGUUGGAUUGGCUACAGGAAGACAGAAACACUAAUACACUCUCGGUAGAGAUGUGAUUAGUCCAAUUGCUGUAAAGCAAAUUGGAAUUAUGCUAUUGAAAGAAGUGACUGAAAUAUUAACCCUUUGACCCUGAGGUCCCACUGCUUGUCAUAUACCCCAAGGAGGUCAAAGAAAGAAAGAAAGGUCUCACAUAUACCAAAUAUUAAUUGAAGCACUUCAUAGUCACCAAGAAAUAGAUUCUUGUGAUCACAGGACUUAAAGCAGAAAGGUCUUCAAGAAGCUCCCUAGUCCAACUCCUUCACCUUACAAAUAAAGAAACUGAGGCCAGAGAGAUUAGGAGACUUGCCCAAGGUCACACAGGUAGUUAAGUGGCAUUGCUGAAAUUUGAAUCAAGGUCCUCCAACUCCAAAUCUUCAUUUUUCUUUCCGCUGCAUACCAUCACCUUCCAUCUCAAGUUUAGCUUGGGAAUAGCUAAACAAAUGUGACAAAAAUGUUACUACGUUAUAAGAAAUACGAAGAAUUCAAGGAGGAAAUGGUGAUGAUUAAUUUAUAACAAUUGAUACAGUGUGAAAUAAAUAGAACCUAUAUAUAUACACAUAAAUAUAUAUAUACAUAUAUACACACACAAUGACUACAAUGAUGAAAGUAGAGAGAAAAAUAAAGGAAACUGCUGUGUGAUUAUAAUCUCCAAACUUGGCUCUAGAGGAGAUUUGAGAAAAUGCACCUCCAUUCAUUGCCAAGGUGGAAAACUACAUGUGCGGAAUUUUGCAUAUACUAUCAGAUACUGUCAAUUGGUAGGAUAGGGGAGAGAGUUGGCUUACUGCAUUUUUUUUCUUGUGUAGUUUUUGCUAUAAAGGAAGACUUCUUGGGUAGGAGAAAGAAGAGAUAUAUUCAAAAACAUACAAAAACCAAAAGCAUCAAUAAAUGAGGAUUUUUUUUAAAUAUCAAAAAGAAAGAGGGAGAGAAAAAUGAGGAUAAAGUAAAAUGGCAAAUAGAUGAUGUGGCCCCAAAUGGAAAAAAACAAUGAUCCAGGAACAGGUAAAAAUUGAAGUACAGGUUUCACACUAUUCUUACCACAUCUCACCAUCAUCAAUGCUGGUUCUAUGGAGACUUUUCUAGAUCAUCAGCAAGAGAAAAGCUAGAGAUAUUUGGUUAUAGGAAUACCAAGUCAAGCUUAAAAGCAAAGGACAGAGAAGGAGUGUACCUUCUUCUCUAUUCUGGAUACUUAAUAUCUUUGACACCACUUCUUGGACACAAGUACCAUUGAGAUGCUGCUGUACCGACCUAGAUUUGCUUUGUCUCCACUUUGACAUUUGAAUCAUUACCUGCAAUUUUUAUUCUUUGGAAAGUGUGGUGUUCCACAAUUCUCAGCCAUAUAGCAUCUAAAGUAACAUUGCAAUAUCACAGAAAUAACUCCUGAUCUUUAUCACCAAACUUGACAUCCCUCAAUGCCAGACUUGAAUCAUAAAAUCCUAGAAUUUUUAAGGUUAGGAGACCCAGGGGCUAUCUAGUCCAACCCAUACCCAAAAAAGAAUCCCCAUCAUAACAUAUUUAACAACUCAGUCUCUGCUUUAAGAAUACCAAAGAUGAAACCUUAUUUCUUAGGAAGCAUUUUUAGACAACUAUACUUGUUAGGAAUCCUUUUUCUUGGCAAUAAACCUAAACUUGCCUCUUGGCAAAUUCCAUUGCUAUUAAUUCUGCCCACUGGGGCUAUAGUAGUCCUGGAAUUAAUUUAGGUCUAGUAGCAAAUGAUAGCAAUUGAUAAGUAACUUUGCUCCAAGAUGAUUGACCUGGGAUAUUGCCUUUUCGUGGGUUCUUUUGUUCCUCUUGUGGAGAAUAAAUCUCAGGAGAUUUGUUUGCUCCUCAGGGGCUCUUUGUACCUUACAGAAAGAAACUCUGGCUCAAUGGGGGCACCUCUACCUGAGAUUACUACACAUCUCUUUAUAGACAGCAGAAGACAUGGGGUCUGCCUCUAAAACAUUAUGGUUUUAUAGUCUAGAAAGGACAAGGUUCACCCAGUGUGGCUGGGUAGCCUGAUAUGGGUAUCCAGUUGUGAAGGAAAAGUAGAGAAGGCAAAGGAACCAUGUCCUAGCCAGAAACUUGGGAAUCGGUAUAGGUAACAUGUAGGUCAAAGCACCCACAAGCCCAUGGUAUUACUUGAGCUAUUUUUACUAUUUCUAACUUGGAACCAAUGAGGUCCAUUCACUUUAUUAUCUUGUUGCAUGCUUAGCCCACAAUUGUCCUCUAACCCAGAAGUAAUGGUCUCAAGGAUGUGGGGAUGAAAGAGAAACCCAGGACUAGCAUCUGCCAUCAUGAAACUGGAAUCCAAGGGUUGAGAGGAGCCACACUAUUGAGGUUUAUUUUUUCAUUCUAUGUAGAGAUGCCAAUUCCCAAAAUAUCACUGCUCUUUAGGGCAAUGGUUACCCUGAUAGCUCAGUCUGUGAGGGACAGAGAUCAGAGAUAGACUGCAGGUAGACCAGUAAUUGAAUUAAACACAACACAGCUGGUAAGAGCUGAUGAAGAAUUUUUCCUCUCAUGUGAAGGACUCCAAGGUACAGAGAGGAGCUCCUCUCUGGAUGACCUUUGGGAGCUCCUCAGACUAAUGAAAUAAAUCUCUAGCUCCCCAGAAGCCAAAUCUCCACAAAGGGACUUUGUAGCACACUAUUACAGAUAACAGAAAAAAGGGGAGUCACAUUCAUAGGGUAUUUUUGGGCUUCUUAAGAAAAGCAAACAUUCGAUUAUAUAUUUUAAAACCCCAUAUGCCUUAUUGAAUCAAAACAGAUUUUAGCCUUGGCCUGAAACCAGGGCCAAACAGAACAAGUCUAAGCCCUUUUCCAUAUGAUAACCCUUCAGGUACUUAAACACAGCCAUCAUGUCCCCUCCAUAGCCCCUUAUCCAAACUAUAUGUCCUCAGUUACUUCAACUGGUACUUAUAUGACUAGACUCAAUGUGCUUCAUCUCCCUAGUUGUCAUCUUCUGGAUGCUCUCCAGCUUAUCAAAGUUAGAUAUUUCAGAUAUGUUUGACCAGGGCAGAAUAGAGAGGUACCAUUACCUCUUUAUUCCUAAAAGCUAGGACUUUCAAUGCAGAAUAAUAAGGCUGCUUUAUCUUCCAUUGGCUACCACAUCAUUCUAUGAACUCCUAUUAAACUCAUAUUAAAACCCUCAGAACAUUUCCAGACAAACUGUUGUCUCGUUGUACUUCCUUGACUCUGCACUGUGAAGUUGAUUUUUAAAAUCUGAAUAUGUGAAUUUAUGUUUUCCCCACUGAAUUUGAUAGUACCAUAUUUAAUCCAGGAUGCCCUACAUUCCUGUCCCUUCCUCUGGGUCAUCUGCAAAUUUUGCUCCAAAUUAUUGAUAAAAAUGUUAAACACAAGGCCAAGAACAGAUCCAUGGGAAACUCCACUAGAGACUCCCUUCCAAGGUGACAUCAAACCAUUAAUGACUAUUCUUUGAUUCAGACUUAUUCAUCCAAUUCUGAAUUCAUCUCAUUGUAAUAGUAUCUAGUCCAUAUUUCUUCACCUCUCCCCAAGAUUAGUAUGAGACAUUAGUGAAUGCUUUUCUGAAGUCUGGAUAAACCAUAUUGACAGUAUUUUCCUGAUUUGAGUUUUGGUAAUCCUGUCAAAAAAAGAAAUGAGGUUAGCCUGAUAUGCUCUAUUCUUGAUGAGGCCAAAUGGACUGUUUUUCUAUGGUCAUCACUUCUUUUUCUAAAGGUUCACUAUCUCUUCAAUGAUCUGGUCUAAAGAAUUCUUCCAAAGAAUUAAAUUCAAGCUCAUCCUGUUGGAACCUAUGGACUCUUUUCGGACAUUUGUCUUUCUCUUUUGCUCCUCCUCUCAAAGAUCUUUUAAGUAUCAAUGACUGUUGCUUAGGAAUCACAUCCACAAAUUCUUUCAGUUAAAGGAAGUAAUUCUUCUGAUCUGCAUGACUUGAAAUGGGGAACCACUAGGUUCUCUCUUAUUAUCUCCUUACUUAUCUUGGGCAUCAAUUCGCUCUUGGGAAUGUUCUGUCAUUUUCAAUGAAACGCCAUUUUCCUUGUCAGAGAAACCAGAAGCAAUAUAAGAAUUAGUUCUGCUUUCUCUCUCUUGUAAGUUCUCCUCCUUCCAUUCACCCCAAAUAAGUGUGAUUUCCUUCCUUGGUCCUCUACUUUGCCUCCCCACUCCACUAUAACUUAAAAUCCAACUUUUUGUUGUUGUUGUUGCCCUGGGCUUUUCUGGAUUGCUUUUUUUGAGCUUUAUCACUCCUGAUGUUAUUUUUUUAAAAGACUGGGCCAGAUAUAUUCUCUGUCACCUAUCUUCGUUUUCCUUUUCUAUGCAUAUAUUUUAGAAAUUUUAAAUUUAGUUGUUGAUUUCCCUAUGGGUCCCCCAGGGAAAUGUAUCAGAAAAUUCCCAUUUAUCCUUUAUUGGAACUGUUUCCCUUUGUACCUUUAGAAUUGCAUCUUGAGAGUUUCCUAUCCCUUCUUGACUGAUUUCCCUUCUCAUCUUAGCCCAUGGGCUCUUACAUAGUCUUCCUCACAUUUCUCUGAAAUUUACUUUUCAUAAAUCUGGGGUUCAUGUCAGACCAGGUCCAGUUUUCCUCUCCUCUGUCAAAAAUUUUGGGAGAAAAUGGUCAUAUACUUCCCCAUUGCACCCAUCAUUUCCACCAAAGAAACCAGUUCAUCCCUAUUAAGAAUUGGAUUCAAUAAAAAAAAAUUUCCCUUGUUGGUUCUUCCACCAUUUGAAGAGUUAAAAUUAUCAUUAAGGCAAGUCAAGAAGUCAUAAUCUAGCCAUAAGUUUCAUUCUACAGAACCUCAGUGAUUCCUAUGAGGUAAUAUUUCACUCCUUGUAUCAUGGCUUCUGGUUCCUCUUGCUUAUAUUCUAAACUUUAGGCAUUUGUAUAUACAUAUUUAAUAAUUGUAAUGGCAAUAAUAUUUAUAUAGUGCUUUAAGUUUUACAAAGUACCUUAAAAAUAUUUUAUCCUUACAACAAUACUGGGAAUUAGAUGCUAUUACUAUCAACCUCAUUUUUCAAAUGAGGAAAGUGGAAAAGACAAAAGACAGACAAGUAACUUGUCCAGAGCCACUCAGAUGAAUUUGAACUCACAUCUUCCUGACUAUAGCCCCAACAGUCUAUUUACUAUGACACCUAUGUUCCAUUUGAGGUUGUCCGGUUGGUUUUACCACUGGUUCCUUUCUUGGAUUUUUUUUCCUUUAAACUUCUGGCUGUCCUUAUUCCUUCACUAUAUCUAUUCUCUAUGGCAGGGUUGUCAAACUUAACAAAACUCCAGAGUGCUGCCUGAACUAGAUUGAAAUGCAAUUGGGAAAUGUUUAAGGAAAUAAAUAAAAAUACAACAUAGGUAAUGUUAAUUUGUGAGUUUCUAAGUCAAUAUUUAGCCUGCAGAUGUCUGUUUCUAUUUGAGUUUGACCUUAUAGUUCUCUAAUAUCUUAGUGCUUAAAUAUAAACAGUUUUCAUCCUCUUUGAAUCUUUUUUCUUUGAAAGCCCUUUUGUUUAGCACAGUAUUUGGAUCAUAGUAUAUCUAUAACAUGGUUUUUUAAAAUAGCUAAUAAGGAAAUACAUUUUGAAUAAUUUCAGAUAUAUAAUCAAUAUCAUAUUGCUUGCCUUCUCCAGGGAAAGUUGAUAUUUUAAUGAAUGUUUUAAAAUGUAAUUGGGAACUAUUUAAUUAAACAACCAUGAAUAAACAUAUGUGAUAAAAAUUAAAGCUUGUUGAUUUGCUCAUUUUUGAGAAUAAUAAAUAAAAUCAUUGAGAGUUGUAAGUCACCCUCGAUGUCCUCUAGAUCAACUCCUUAGCAAUAGAGAAACAAACAAAAUAUUACACUGUUAGUAAAAUGAAUUAGGGCAGAUUUUUUCAAAUGGAAAAUGUCAAUCUAUAACAAAAGCUAAAAAAAUUGAUCAUAUCCUUGACUCAGUGAUCCCACUACUAAAAUUGUGUCCAAGGGAUGCUUUUUUAAAAGUGGGGAGGGAAAUCUAUCAGAUAGCCACUAUGAUCUUAUGCACUAAAAGAUUCAUUUGCACUUCAAUUAAGAGGAAAUUCCUGGGAAAGUGGCAAACUCUCUCUGGUUGUAAACUGGCAAAGAUAAUAAAAGAUGCAAAUAAUCAAUGCUGGAAAACAUGUAUUAAUGCUCUAAUGAUUGAGAAUAGAUUAGAUUUAAACCAAGAAUGCAAGAUUUGCUCCGGAUUAUGAAAAUUAUAAACAUUUUAGACCAUACAAGUAAAAAAAAUAACAAAAAUUACAUUUUAUCAAUAGAUUUUAAAAAGUUUGGAAAAAACACAACCACCUUGCAUGUUAAAAAUAUUAUAAAAGCAUAGGAAUAGACCAUCCCUUUUUUAUGGUAAAUUUUAUCUAUGUAAAACAAGGAGAUACCAUUUUAUCUGUAAUGGAAAAACACUAAAAGCCUUUCAAAUAAAAUCAUAAAUCAAGUAUAUUCAUUGCCACUAGUAUUUUGAGAUAUAUUUCUUGAGAUCCUAACUAUGACAAUAAGACAAAGAGAAUUUGAAAAAAUAACUGUAGGCAAAGAUGGAACAAAACUGUUGCUUUUUGCAAUUUCAGUUUACUUAGAAAGUCCUAAAAAUGAAUAACUUCAGUAAAUCAACAGAAUGUAAAAUAAACUCAAAAAAUGAUCAGCCUUGUUCUACCAUAAAAAAUGACCUGAGAAAAACCAGGACUUAUAUGAACUAAUGUGGAGUGAAAUAAGUAGACCCCAAGGAAAUAAUUUAUACAAUGACUACAAUAUUGUCUAGAAAAACAUCUUUGAAAGACUUAAGAAUUAUAAUCAACAUAAUGAGCCACCAUGAUUAUAAGAGAAUGAUGAUGAAUUCUUUUAUUCACCUGGGCAGAAAAGUGGGAGGUCCAUGCAUGGUCUGACUCCAAGGAGCAUGCAAUGAACUAAUCAAAGGAUGGGAAGAUGGGUCUCAUCCUACCAUCCCCAAAAUAGCCAGUUGUGGACUUUAUACUCAUACACUCACCUCUACAUUUCAGAUUAUAACCUCUCACCUGUUUUAACUAAUAGUAGCCUCCUAAUUGGUAAACCUGACCCAUCUCUCCUCAUUCUAAUCCAUCCUCCCCAGUCAGUUGCCAAAGUGAUUUUUCUAAAGCACCACUUAACUCCAAUGACUCUCUAUUGAUUAUGGGAUCAAAUAUUAUAACUUUAUCUCAUCCUUUUGAAUUUUUAUGUUUCUAUUUAUUUUGUGCAAGUACACUGGUAUAUAUAUAUGCUUUAUUAGUUAUGCAAGCUCAAUUUUUUCUGAUAUAGGAAUUUGAUCAAAAAAGUUUAUAGACUAGAAAGAGACCUAUCACAAGCAUAACUAAUGAAUGAAUUUAUUUUGCUUGAUUAUACUUAUUUGUUUUGGAAUGCUUUGUAGAGUAGAGAGAUUUAUAGAAGAGAUGGACAGUGAUGUUAAAAAAAAGAACAUUAAGAAAAGAACAUACAUGACGCAUUUAAAAUAUAAACAGCAGUGAAUAGAAGAAAAUUCAGAAACAGAAGCAAAAAGUAGGGUAGUUCUGGAAUAACUGUAAUUGUAUACUUUUAAAAAAACAAGCUGCACAAAACAAAGAUUCAGAGUUCCACACCCAAUUCUCUGUUUUGUUCUUCUUUACAUACAGAAAUGUUUUUUAUAUUUGUCAACUUAGCAAUAGAGAAUUUUUUAAACCAUAUUCCAAAUGAAGAUACAAAUUGUCCCAAUCGCUCUGGGAAACAAUUUUGAAGUAACAAAAGUGAUUAAGUGUUUUUAUCUUUUAACUCCAUUAUACCCAUUGGCAGUUGUGUCUAUAGAUUACAAAUGAAGAAAGAUUUGAGACAGGGUGAUCAAAUAGAAGGCUAUUGUAAUGGGGGUGGGGGGGACUGGGCAUUUCUCUCCCCACAAUAGAUCAAAGAUAAGGAGAAGUACAAUAAGUAGCAAAAUAUUUAUAUCACCACUUUAUGCACUAGAAACUAGAAAUGAAAUGGAUGUACAUUGACUGAGGAAUAGCGUGUGCUGUAUUUCUUUGUUACAAGAGAUUAUAUGAGCGUGGUGAUGUCAGGAAAUAAUGACACUUUUUAAACUAUAAUAUUUGCUUUAUAAAUGAAGUGAAUGAAAUAGAAUGGGACAAAUCACUCUUAGUGGAUUUUGUUUUAAUGUAGCAAUGUGAGGAGAGGGAGAACUUUGGAUGGGACUUUAUGCCCAACCCCUCAAAACACUACACUGAAAUAGUUCCAAUUCUCUGUAGUGCUAUGGCCCUGUAACUAUUCUUUAGCAAUGAGACAUUCAUUCUGACAAAAAACAAUUUGGGGAAUUUAACAUGUGUGUUGACUUUUCCUCAAAUACCAUAACUUCCAGGACCUACUACUACACUCCACCUAAAUUACAGAGAAUAGUCACAUCCUUGACCUCAUCAUCCCCCACAAAUAUUUUUCCUCAUUGAUAAAGAAUUGUGAAAUUCUUUUAUCUGAUUAUAACCUUCUAUCACUCUAUCUUUCCCUAUGCCUAAGUCUCCUAAAGUUGUUCUCUGUCUUAAGACUCUCAUGCCCUCCACCUCGCAGUACUUUCUCAGUUCAGCAUCCCUUCUCUGAACAUUGUUGUUCAGUUGUUUUGUUGUCCGACUCAGACAGACCCCAUUUGGGGUUUUCUUGGCAAAGAUACUGGAAUGUUUUGCCAUUUCCUUCUCCAGAUCAUUUUACAGAAGAGGGAACUGAGGCAAAUAGGGUUAAGCAAUUUGUCCAGGACCACACAACUUCGUUAAAUUAACAGCGUUAAGUUAACAGUGUAGUUAAGUAUCUGAGACUGGAUUUGAACUAAUAAAGAUGAGUCUUCCUGAUUCCAAGUCCAAUACUCUCUCCACUGUGCCAUCUAACUAACUGUUCCUUCUCUUAUGAUACUUUCUUCCUUUUUCCAUCUCAAACCUUAGUGGCACAGUGCAACUUUAAACUAAUCUCUAUUCUCCAAUACCUUGUUUCCUUGUCUUGUUACCAAUAUACAUUUUCAAAUUUGGGUUCCUUCCAUCAUCUAUCUCCUACACUUCUCAUCUAUUGCUUAAAAGUCCCAAAACUCUACUGACUUGAUCCACUACAAAUUUGUUAUCUGAACUCAAUUGGCAUUCACAACCAUAAGGCAAACUUAUUUAACCUCCCUCCCUAAUUGAUUAUCCUAUUCUCUGUAACAAUUCUUCCAAACUUCCUUUUCUCCAAAUUUCCAUUGAAUUUCCCCUCUCCAUCUUUUCAAUUGAGGACUUUGCCUUAUAUUCAAUUGAUAAAAAUCAAAGCCAUUUGCCAGACUCCCUCUUUUCCUUUCCACCUGACAUCAUCUGAAGGGGAGGGAGGGAGGGAGAGAGGGAGAGAGAGAGAGAGAGAGAGAGAGAGAGAGAGAGAGAGAGAGAGAGAGAGAGAGAUGUCCUUUCUUUCUCAAACUACUUGAAAAUGUAAUCUUUGUCCAGGGGUUCCACUUACUCUGCUCUCAUUCGCUCCUAAAUUAAUUGUAAUUUAUUUCCCAUCUCAUCACUCUAAGAACUGCUCUUUCCAAAACAAAGAUCUUUUAAUUUCUAGAAUAGAAGAUCUUUCUCAGUCCUCCUUGCCAACUUAUUGGGGAUCCUCCCCUGCCUCCUUUCGGAGUUUUCCAAACAGUACUCUCUCUUGGUUCUCUUCAUGCCUGUUUAAGUGCCCCUUCUCAGAAUCAUCAUUCAGGUUAUACCCACUAAUUGUGGGCAACCCAAGGCUCUUCCCUCUUUUUUUUCCUCUAUACUCUUUCAUUUGGUGACCUCAUCAUCUCUAUGCUAAGGACUCAAAAAGCUAUACACCUAAUCUAAUCCCUGUCCUGAGCUCGAGUCCCACAUCAAUAUAUUUUGGACACUUCAAAUGGGUUCUUUCAAUAUCACCUUAAAUUCAUCAUGUGCAAAAUAGCACUCAUAAACCCAGUAACUAUGUGAAUAUAUUUUCAAAACAUUCUUCACACAAAUAGUCAGAACCAAACAAUUGAAAAAAUAUUCAUUUCUCAUGGAUAGGCUGAGUCAAUAUGAUAAAAAUGACAAUCUUACUUAAAUUAAUUUGCCUGUUCAGUGACAUACCAAUCAAAGUACCCAAAAAUUAUUUCAUAGAACUAGAAAAAAUAAUAACAAAAUUCUUCUGGAAGAAAAAAAGUCAAGAAUACCAAGGGAAUCAAUGAAAAAAAAGUAUGAGGGAAGGAGGCCUAUCUGUACCAGAUUUCAAGUCAUACUAUAAAGUGGUAAUCAUAAAAAAUAAUCUGAUACUGGCUAAGAAAUAGAGUAAUGAGUCGAUAGAAUAGGUUAGGUAAUCACUCUCCACUCACACAGCACCAUCCUAUUACAGUGACGUCCUAUUUGAUCUCCCUGGAUUAAAUCUUUUCUCCAUUCCAAUCCAUUCCCCUCACAACUGACAAUGUGUAUGGGUGUGUUUUUUAAAAUACAGCCCUGACCAUGUGUAGUAGGUAAGAAUUGACCAAUCCAGUCUGGUUAUCUUGGGUUCAAGAUUGGAAUGAAAAUGAGACACUCAUAGUCCAUCGAACAAUUAACAAAGGAAGUUUUAAAGAGCCAUACUAGAGAAAGAAUAUUUCCUUAAAAUUGAGUUUAAGCUUUCCUAUAUUGUUGCUUUUUCUCAUUGCCCUGCUGUUCUCUUGGACAAAAAUCUGAGGGGGCUCUUUUUUCUACUCAAAUGACCAGGAACCUACAUCAAUGGCCUAAGCCUUACCUGUCUGCUUCUAUUGUCUCAAACACAAUUUCAGUGCCUUUGAAGGAAAACGAAGUAGCCCUUCCCAUAUGCCAGGAGUCUUUAGCAGAUAGUCCUGCUACCACACCCUGUUACUCUAGUAGUUCCCUAUUACUUUUAGGAUUAAAUAUAAACUGUUCUAUUUUGCAUUUAAAAUUCAUCACAAUUUAAAUAACUUCCUACUUUUUCUCAGUCUAGCCACCCUUCCUUACAACCCUCCUUCCAUUUCCUUACCUGUGCAGUGGCUGCCUCCAUGCCUGUCAUGUUUUUCCUCUACCUUUUGGAAUUUCUAUUUUCUUCCAAGAAUUAGUUUAAAUUGGUUUCUCCUUCCAUCUAUUGAUUCUACCUUCAUAGCCUCUCUAAUAUAGACCCUCUUCUCUUCUCUGACCCACCUCUGAAGCCCAGGUCCUCAUCAUUUCAUGUCUGGGCUAUUGUAAUUGACUCCUGAUGAGUCACUCUGCCUCCUAUCUUCCCUGCUCCAGACUGACCACUACUCAGCAAUCAAACUGAGCUCCAGAAUCUGUUCUCUAAUCACUGCCCUGCUUCAUUCUUAAGCAUUUUUCCAUUGUGUGUUCAUUUCCUUAGCCUCCCCACUAGUGGGACUUGUUUUAUUUUCUGAUGAUGAGUGUUUCUUUUACUCAAUCUGUUAUUAACUGGAAGCACUUUAUCUUCAGGAGCCACUGUCAAAGGGGCAUAAUUGGUGUUAGGGGCAAUUAGGGAGCAAGGAAGAUGUUGGAGGAUAGGAAAGUCAAGGGCUAGAGUAGUUACUAGAGUAGGAAAUAAUUUCAAACUUCUUCUUCAAACUUCAAAUUUCUUUGACCUACAGAUGAUUCUUGUGUCAAUUCUUCAAGGAAAACUGGAGGUAGAGGAACUGAGGGAAAGCACUGCAUAUAUAGGAGAUGGAGAGUGCAAAGGCAAAAAAAAAAUGGUAGAUGGAGCCCAGAAAGUUUAAGUAACUAACCCUAGAUCACACGGGAAAUAAAUGGGAGAGUUGGGCAAGUUAAGUACUAGUAAGUUCUUUCCUACAGAAUAGCCAAGUAGGAUAGCCAGGAAAAGGACCUGGGUCCUUCGUACAGUGUGAUAUAUCAAGACAGUUUCAAGGAUUAGAAGUCAGAGGAGCUAUCUUCAAAUGCCAGUUCUGUAUAUACUACCCAAUCUACUUUACCUCCUUAACCUCACUUUCCAAAACUGUAAAAAUAUGAAGUUGGAUUAUGGUCCUAAGGGCCCAUCUAGAACUAAGUAUAAAAUAUUAAAAUGUAUUGGAUUUUUUUUCACCAGCAAUCCAAGAGCAGGGAAUAGGAGAUGCUUCUACCAAAGGAAAACCAGGACUUUUGUGCUGUCCUUUUCAAUCUCUCCUGGAAAAACCCCAAGUUCAGGAAAACGAUCACAAAUCUGGCACAGAAGAAUGAUAUAGAGAAAAUAGAGGCAAUUUACUAUGAGCUCCCCCUUUUUCCCCUUCUCUUCAUAGUUCAAAAACAUUCUCUAUUUUUUCUUAUUUUAUUCUUGUCUCUGAUGAAAUGACCCUUCUCAAAAACAACUAACCCUUUCCAAUCACUCAGGAUCACAAAUUUCAUGUCAUUCUCUAAUUCUGAGUCUUCCUCACCUCCAAUAUCUACAAAUUGUUAUAUCUUUUCAACAACUUUUCUCAAAUCCAUCCCCUUCUGCCUGCUCACACAGCCCUUAUCCUAUUUCAGGUCUAUAUCACCUCUUACCUGAACCAUUGAAAUAAUCUUAUAAUCAGUCAAACUGCUUCAAGUCUCAGCCUACUCCAUUCCAUCCUCCACAGAGUUGCCAAAUUGAUUUUCCUAAAGUCUAAGUCUAACAAUAUUAUUCCCAUACUCAAUAAAACUAGUGAUCUUUAGAAUCAAAUAUAAUCUUCUCUGUUUGACAUUUAAAGCCCUUCAAUACCUGGCCCCAACCUACUGUUAAACUCUUAUUAUUCCCUUUCGUUUAUUCCCCUUCAGACAUUCUGAAGUCCAAUGAAUUCAGCUUUCUAACUUUUCCUCCCAAUACAGUACUCUAUUUUCCAUUUCCAUGUCUUUGUACCAGCCAUACCCCAUGUGAUCUCCCCUUACCUUCACCUCCUAGAAUCCCUGUUUUCCUUCAAGACUCAAGAGCCACCUUCUACAUGAAGACUCUCCUAAUCCCUCUGGCUGUUAUUGUCCUCCCCCCUAAAAAGUUAUCUUAUGGCCAUUUUGCAUAUAGCCAGUAUAUAACUAUUAUGGAUACAAUCUUUCCCCGAGUAGGUGCUUAAUAAAUAUGAUUGUGAUGGAGGAUUUCAGUACCCCAGAUAUAUGCUAGAGCUUUCUCUCUGCCAAAAGCAUAGUAGCCAAUAUUUUCCUUAAUGAUGACAGUGCACGUAGUGACAAUCCCCCAAUUCACAGAUUUCUCUAAGAACUGUUACCUCAGGUACAAAGUACAGUAUGGAUUGACAUCCCCUAAAAUGAUAUUCAUGGAUGUUUACCUAGAAUGGUCAGCCAGAGGACAAAAUUAGUUAUUCAGAUAAAGGUAUAGAUGUCAGGCUCAACAAAUUCACAGAUGGCAAAAAGCUGAAAGAGGUAGCUAACAUACUGGGUGACAAGAGUCCACUCCAAAAAGAUCUUGAAAGCCUAGAGCAUUGAGCUGAGUAUAAGAAGAUUAAAUUGAAUAGGGAUAAAUAUAAAGUCUUACACUUACACUGAUAAAAAAAUCAUCUUCCUGAGUCCAAAAUAGAAAUUUAUUCCUUAAAGAAAGUGAAUUUUAGUGGACUGAAAAUUCUCUAUGAACCAACUUUGAGCUAUGGUGAACAUACAAUGCUAAUUCUGUAUUAAGAGAGGCAUAACAACUUCCAGGAAUAACUUUUGCUUUACCACAUCUGGGAUGUAAUGUUCAGUUCUGGGCUCCAUUGGUGAUACAUUCGACCCACCUACAGACAUACAGUGAUGAACUUAAGAUACAGGACAAGGCAAGAUUUUUCAACAUGGAAAAUUUAGGAGUCUGUUUUGCUAGACUACACAUUUGUUACAAGGGGAUUUUUAUUUGUUUCUUUCUUUUAUAUGGGUGGGGAGGAGGAGAGUGGCAGAGCAGAGCCAGAAAGAAGAGAAAAUAAAGAAAGAGAGAAGAGAAAUGAAGUAUUAUUAGAGAUGAACAAAGACUCUUAGGGUCAUAUUUUCUAGAGCUUUACAAGAGCUAAACUGAGAAGUUCCAACUUUAUUCUGGAAGCAAUAGGAAGCUAUAGUAGUUGGUUAAGUAGGAGAAUCACACUAUCAGAUCCUUUACCUUCCCCCCCUGCCUGGAAUGUGCUCCCUCCUUACCUCCAAGUCAGAGUCCCUCUUUUCCUUUUAAGAUGCAGUUCAAGCCCCAUCCUCUGCACCAAACCUUUUGCCUAUCCACCCAAACUACUUCAUAUUUUACUACUUUGUAUAUAUACCAGUGUGUGUAUAUAUUUAUACAUCUAUCUGUUUAUAUCUCUAUUUACAUACAUAUCUACAUUUAUGCAAACAUAUAUACACAUACAUACAUAUACUUAUUAACUUUAUCUUUAUUUUGUAAAUACUUUUCUAUGCACAGCCACCCAAUUAGAGUUGGAAUGCAAGGAGGAAUUGUUUCAUUCUUUGGACUUGUAUUCUCCAGUGCUUGGAACAGUGCCUGAGACCUAGUAGGUGCUUAAUAUUUGUUGAUUAGUUGACCUCAUAUGAUAAUAGAAAAGGAAUAUUUCAAUUAUUGCAAAGUCAAUUUGAUUCAAGAUCAAUUCUAUGUGCAAUAAAGACCUCAGAGAUUAUUUAAUCCAAUCACCUCACCUUUUUUUAACCUUUACUUUCCAUCUUAGAAUUACUACAAUGUAUUGGUUUUCAGACAGAAGAGUGAUAAGAGCUAGGCAAUGGGGAUUAAGUGACUUGCCCAAGUUCACAUAGCUAGGACGUAGCCGAGAUAAAAUUUGAACCCAGAACCUUUCAUCUCCAGGCCUGAUUAUUCAUGAGUUGCCUAGCUAUCCCCCAAGUCACUUCUUUUGUAGAAGAGGAAACUGAGAAUAAAAGGAGUUAAAUGGUUUGCACCCCACAGCUAGUGUAAUGAGGAACAGAACUAUAAUUACCACCUAAGUUUCUUGACCCUCUUGCUCUUCCCUCCAACCUAUUGCCUCCCUGAUGAAGUUGAAAGUGUGACCCUUAUAUAAAACUCCUUAAAUUCACUCCCCAAAUUGAACAGUCACUUAUAACAGUCUUCCAAAAGAUAGAAUACUUACAUCUCUUUUGGAACAUUAUACAAGUCUUUAGAACUUUCUUUUUGGUAUCUUUGUCCCCGGGGGAGCAAAAUUUACAGAUGCACAACAUGAGUGCAGAGUGUGUAUCAUCAGUCUGAUAAAUUCUAGACUUUCCCCAUUCUUUAACCUAAUCCCAAACUUCUUCCUAGCCUGAAUUGUACCCCAGAGGCUGUGAGGAAGAUGGCAGCAGAGCAGUAGAAAUCGUCCUAAAUAUUGACUAGACUCACAGAGGGACAGUUUCAUUUAUCCAUGAAACAAAGAUCCUGCAAUUAGGGACCUCCCAAGACAAGCACCCUUCAGAUAACAAGGAGCUCCAGGCUGCUGGCUCCCCAUUAAGGAGUCAGAUCAAAGCCCUGAUAUUGACUGUCCUUUGUCUCCCACCCAGGGCUUAGACCAAUCUAAAUGUUCCCCCAGGGGAAGGACAGGAGGCAGCGGUCAAAUUCAGGUUUUUCAUGCUCCCCCAUGUGUCAAAAAUAACUGGAAGACUUCAAAACUGAGCCAGUGGUUGGUCAGGCAGUAUAGAAAAGAGAGACCCAAGACCCUCAUGGUUUACUCUUGGCGUCUGCCACACCAAAGUAACGUUUACUACCUGUGUGCAGGUAGUAUAGCAAGGAUAGAAACUUGCUGCCCUGACAUCUGUGAUUAAGCCUUCAUUAGAAUUAGGCCUCUGUAUUAUGGCAUGACUUUUUAUGUUACUUAUCUAAUUUGAAUUUAUUAUCAUAUAGAGGAUAAGCUGAUGGCCUCUACCUAUUUUCUGUCAAAUUACCUUUCAAUUUGGGUAGAAGUUUUAGUCAAAUAAAUCUUUGCAUUAAAUGUAGCAUUAGCUUCCCCAGCUGCCAUUGCCUGAAGGUCAAGUAUGUUCAAUUCCACUCCUCCCUAAUGCCUUGUGUUCUUCGUAACCAUUAAGGGAGGUUGGUAUGCAUUUAAGCUCUUAGCCCCCAUCUAUCAUGUUCACCUGGCUCUAGGGGAUCCUCUGCAUCCUUUUUCCUUAAAAUUUCCCUAAUUGCCAUUUAACCACUAACUUAACAAUAGGGUUAACUUUUACAAAGUACCAAAAAAACUUUUUCAAAGAAAUAUUUAUUUUAAAAGUAUAUUUACAAAUAUACAAACUCACUCUUCAAUAUAUUUGAGGUAGAAUAUUCUCCUCCCUCCCAUACUACCUUGGUUUCUGAGGAGAGGAAGAGAAUUAGGUUCACAGUUUAGCUCAGUUCCUAUAGAGCACAGUCCCAGUUCCAAGUACAAGACUCUUCCUCAGGCUUGAGUUCCAGGAGUUCUGGUGAUAAUUUACAGGCUUCCGUAUCAGCCUGUGUCUGGCUAUAUUCUCCCACCAGGAAUCCUGACUCCAGUCUCCAAGAUUUGUAUUUCCAGAUCUGAAGGGGAUCAUCACCUACACCUGGAGUUAAGAAGGACAAAUGACACAGAACAGAAAAAAAAAAGGUCCAUUUCUUCAAGCUGAGGGAAAAGAGGGAGGGCAGAGGAAGAAAGUCUUUUCCCCCUUCACCAGUUCAGUUUAUGGCAUCCUCCAUGCUGAGUGACCUGGGAAUCUUUACCCUCUUGACACAACUCAAAGGAGUGCAGGAAAAAGUUUGAGCCAGAAAGGAGAGUGACUAUCUCAGCCUCUUCAGUUUUAAAGAUAUAGCUUUUUCCAGCCUAUUCAGGCAAUGCACACAACAUUCCCAUUCAUAUGGAAGGAGAAAGUAACACUGUGUUGGACAAUCUGGGAAUAUCCUAGACCUGCCUCUUUAGGGGUAUCUCCAUGAUGGGCAACCUGGACAAUGCUCCAAAGGCCCUAUUAUAUAAAGAGAUCUGAUUUUUUAAGUCUUAACAUCUAAAAACCAAUGGGUAACACAAAUCAAAAAGAUUAAGACCCAGUUACCUUUAACAAACGUUCAAAAGAAAGGUACAAUUCAGAAUUACAAAAGAAAUAAUUACAAAAGAACAUUCAUAACUGAUUAAUCAAUUGUUUCAAAAGUUCCAAAUACUCUAGAAAAUGAAAAAUAUAUAUCUUCCAAAUGGUCAGAGAUGACAAAAGAUCAAAACAUUCAAUACUGAAGUCUAGAAGUCAUAAGCACUCAUUCAAAGCUGAUAGAGCUAUUUGGAAAACUAUAUUAAAUUGCAUAAAUCUUUUUUUUAACCCAGUGAGAGAUAGGCUAGGUGAUAGAGUGUAAAGAGCACUGGAUUUGGAGUCAGAGGUCUUGGGUUCAAAUUCUACCUCUGCUGCACCUCUCUAUUCCAUAGUUUCUUUGGCUAUAAACUGAAGGGGCCGUAUGAUCCACUUAUGUAUAAUCCCACUGAGUUUAUAACACAAGGAGGCUAAUAAUGAUGGGAAGAAAAGACAAAUGGAACUAUUCAAAAGAAUUAUUUAUAAUUAAAAGUUUGAAGCAAAGUGUGUCUAAGAAUUGAGAUAAGCCCAAGCAAAUUAAGAUAUAGAAAUGAGUUUGUAUUCCAAAUAAUGAAAAUACAAAGAAUUAAGAGAAACAUGAGAGAACUUGCAUUAAGUGAGGCAGAAUAAUGAAAGUAGAGUCAAAAGAAUGAUGUACACAAUUACUACAACCAUGUAAUUUAAGGUCUAGAGCAUUGAAUUAUUGACCUAUGGUCUAGAGCAGUGGUUCUCAACCUUUCUAAUGCCUUGACCCUGCAAUACAGUUCCUCGUGUUGCAGUGACCCCCAAACCAAAAAAUUAUUUUGGUGGCUAUUUCAAAACUGUAAUUUUGCUACAGUUAUGAUUCGGAAUUUAAAUACCUGAUAUGCAUUAUGUAUUCUCAUUGCUACAAAUUGAGAGGUUGAGAACCGCUGGUCUAGAGCAUACUCAGGUACAAGCUUCCAAAUUCCUUUCCUGAGGGAAUAACCAUCAACAAAAUUCAAAUCAAAUACAAAAGACAGUGUUAGUAGAUAUUUCAAAUUCAACACUUCCAAGAUGGACUUUGGUUUAUUGCCCCAAAAACUAAUCCCUCCUUCAAACUUCCCCAUUUCUGUUGAGGGUUCCACCAUCUUUCCUGUCACCAAUGUUCAAAGCCCAUAAGAUAUCCUUAGCAUCUUCCUCUAUCUACUAGCUACAUGAGCCUGGGCUUAAUCUCUCUGUGCCUCAGUUUUCUUAAUGCAAAAUAAGAGCUUUGGCCUCUAAGGUCCCUUCUAGCUCCAAAUCUAAGAUUCUAUGAUUCACUUCAUUGCCAAUUUUUUUUUAUCAUUUUCCAUAAGCUUUCUCACAUCCACCUCCUUUGCUCCUAUAACAAAGCCUCUGCCCUGGUUCAGACUUUGGUCAUCUCUCACUAGGACUUUUGCAAUAAAAGUCUCUUAAUUGUUCCCCUUGCCUCAUAUCUCUUUUCUGCCCAAUCCACCCUCCACUUAGCUCAAAUUAAUAUUCCUAAAAUAUAGCCAUGACCUAUUCAAAACAUUUUAGUGUCUCCUUUUACCUGUAGCAUAAACUGCAAACUUUUCAGUUCUCCAUAAUAUAUGAAACACAUACAUUUUGGCCCACCUCUCUUAGAGCCAGGCAGGCUAUGUCUCCCUCUUAUUAUUCACAGGUAUUCUGAGGGAUUUGAAGUGUCUCUUUUCUCUAAAACUAUCACCUCAAUCCCCUACUGGCAGCAUUCUCUCCACUCCACUUCUUAGGAGCUAGUGACUAGCACCCCAGUUCCAUUUAACCACUUAACAUCAAUUAACUUUUACAAAGGGAUAUUAACUUUAAAGGUAUAGCAAGAACACAUGUACAAACAUUUUCCCCAACUCCUUGCAGGUUUGCUCUUUCCUACACUACCUUGGUCUCUAGGGCAGCAUGCUUAACACUUGGCUCAGUUCCUACAUAGCAUUAGUCCCACCAGAUUCAUGACCAAAGUUGGCACAUUGUUGCCUAAUGAGUCCCCCUCCUGGGAUGGAUUCUUGAUGGUCACUCACGAGGAUCAUUUCUUAUACGUCAGGGGUAUCACUGAUGCUCCAGAUGGCCUGGACUCUGGUUCCCAGAUUCCUAUGGCUCAGAGAUUCCAUUCUUAGACCUAGAAUGGAACAGGACAAAUGAUAAAAGCCAAGAAUCCAGGCCUGAGGCCAUAAGAGAGAGCAGGAUUCAUGCUUUUUCUAAAUGAAUGUGGCUGAUAGUCUAUUUUGAAGACACCAACAGUUCUGGCUGUGCAGUUAGUGGAAAAGGCUGCUCCCAACUGAAAUAAUUGUAUAUAACUAAAAUAAUUGUUUCUAGAAAGAUACCUGAUAAUAAUGGAAGUUUAGUAGGUCAAGGAAUGAUUGUUUAGGACCAGUAUCAGAAGGGCACAGGAUUUGGAAAGGUCAACAAGAUAAAGCUUAUAGGAUAACAUGCUAUUAAACAGGGUUUAUUUAAGAUAAGGGAAGGAAGAGAAGGGAAUUGGGAUGAUCUAUCUAAAGAAUAUAAAUAAACCUCCCACCAAAUCUACUUGGUAACUUCAGAGAGGUAGUAUGUGCACUGUCAAUUACCUCUCUACCUAAGAGUCCCAGUUCCUAUAAUAAAAUACAUUUCACUAACCCAAAUCCCCCCCCCCUUAGAUGGUGAUAGAGGUAGUAAGGUUGGAAGGUAAGCAGGAGCAUGGCUCACAGGGAAGCUCUCACUGACAGAUGGCUUUCAGUAUCUCAAGCAGCUCUGUAGGAAUAUCUCUCAGUCAGCAUCAGCAAGAUACACAGGAACAGGUAGUUGGUAAGAUGGAUCACAAGGAAAGCCACAGGAGAGAGAAUAGCUAGUUCACUAGGUCCACCCUAGGAGACUAGACAAACUCAACAUCCUGCUUAACUGUCUGUUAGAAGAAAAAACAGUCCUAUCACUUCUCCAGAAUUCUGGAACCUUCCUGCUUCUUCCUUUACAGCAUCCCCUCCUGCUCAUUUCCUUAUAACAUAACCCACAGUUAUCCAACCAGAACUUGUUACAAAAUGUUCUCACUUGCUCCCCACUAUCCCCAGGCCAUUUCUGAAAGGAAGUGUCACUGCCUUUUAAUUCUCCUAGAAGCUAUCUCUCCAGCAUUAUAGGGACUUGGAGAGAGAUCAUCCCUGAAAGCCAAGAUGGUCUCUGCAUGAGCCAGAUGCCCAUUGCAUAUGGUUCUUGCCUAACUUGACUAUUAUCUGUGUUACAUAUUAUUUUCUUUAGCAUACUCUCUAUUCCAGUCAAACUAGCUCCCUAAGAAGGUUUCUUGCCUUGGUUCUUUUGUACAAGUGGUCCUCCAUGUCUGGAAGGAACUCCUUUCUCAUCAUGGCUUUGUAUGAUCCCUAACUUCCUUCAAAGUACAGCUCAAGUGCCAUAACCUCCUUGAAGUCCUUCCUAAUCUUUCUAUUUAUUAGUCUUCAUUUCUCUUGAAAUUACUUUUGUACUAUUUUGUACACACUCCAAUAUUUAGGCAUGCAUAUGUUUUCCUUUCUGUAGAACUUAAACUUUUUGAAGGCAAAAAUUUUUUGCAUUUUUUCUUUGCAUCCACACCACCUAGCACAGUGCCUUGCACCUAGUAGGCACAUGGUAACUUUUAAUUGUGUUAAACUGAAUUGAUAACAAGUCAUUAAAUGUAAAAGCAUAUCUUUUCUGUUAACAAGCUAUAAACUAUAGGAGUAGAAAGUGACAAGUGAUAAAUUCUGUCGGUCAGAAUCACUAAAGUAGAUGAUGAUUCGACAGCUUUUUGGAGAAGGUACUUUACAGGUAUUGGUUAAGAUGUUUUGGGAGAUGUGCUUUUGUCUCAAGACAAACUUUAUCUUUGAAAAAAUAAAAAUACUUGAAAGAAAAUGGAUAAUUUGUGUGAAUCAUUCCACAGUUCCUAGUGGGAACUGAGCCAUACUUAAAGGAAUGAUGACAAAUUUAAGUGUUUAGACACAUUAACAGGUUUAUUUUGGAAAGAUGACUUUUAGAAUAUGCCUACUAUAGAAGAAUUUAUCACAAUGUUUGGAAUCUGAAAGAAGCAUUCUAUUCAACUAACCCUAGGACUCAGCACGCUUCCUAGAAUAUAGAAGGCUCUUAAUAAUUGCUUAUUGAUUGAUUGAUCACUCAUUAAGAUGUGAUUAAACUCAGGACACAAAGAGGAGAGCCAGCAACACCUAAGAAUAGCUAGGAAGAGGAGAAUUGAGGUGGAGCCACUGGAGCUGGGAUGAAUAGCAACUCACACUGGACUGAUACUACCUCAGUCUGCAUUCUUUUGAAACACUUUAGUCUAAGGUUUAGAGCAAUAAAAUGCUGUCAUAUUAGACAAAGCCCCAUUUAGAGUUCCAUCCAUGUUAUUUAGUUAGUUUGAGAGGUGACUAUGAAGAAAAGCCUUAGCAACAAUUAAACUGUGAUGUCCACUGAAAUUCUCUAAUUUCAAUGAUGCCCAAUGAAGUCACAUUUGGGGAGUAGAGAAUGGGUCAGGGAAAUGUAUGUGUGCAUGUGCAUGAGUACACACACAUUAGCACAAGUUUGAGCAUGUGUGAAAAUAGUAUUUUUUAUCAAGAACCUGGAGAAAUAGGGGGAAAAGAUGGGGAAUAAUAGCACAAACAAUCUGUGACUAUUUGGAUGAGGUCAUUCGCAAAUGGGUACUCCAGAGACGCACAUGGCCAGACUGAUCCUUAUAUACUGAAAAGAAAAUAAUCUCAAAUCUAGCUGUUAUUAUUUAGCAGUUGCCAGAAGUCUUCCUUAAUAUAAGCCCAUACCAGACAUCUUCUCGGCAACAUCACCAUGUCUGAGUUGAUGUGGAAUUGUUGAUUUGACUGCAUUCACAUUUUAGUAGAUUUGGGGAAGGAUUGUCAAAAUUUUCAUGAAAGGUCUUUUCCCAUUGAGUAUCAGUGGUUAGAAUACUACCAGUCCCUUCUUUGCCCCUCAUCCUGAUAAUUCUAAAUACACACACACACACACACAUACACACACACACACACAAUCACACACACACACACAAAUCCCAUUCCUCAACUCCAACUGGUUGUUCUUUUACUCCUAUUUUCCUUAAUCUUACCCCUGUGAUCAAUCUUACCCCUAUCGGAUCUAUCCACUCAUUCCACUCUACCCCCUUGGUACAUAAUUGAAAAACUUCCUAUUCCUUUUUCCUACAAUCAGGUGGCAUUCAAUGAGACCUGGAUCCUCUCUGAUGACACCAUUUAUCUCACCACCCUUUAUAGUUCUGACUAUACUCUCAUGCCUCUAAGUCACUAGUGUAAUAGCGAGGGGCACUUUGAACUUGUUCACACUAGAUAAGGAUGGGAGAGACAAAAUGCUCCUUGUUCCUCUCAACCACUUCCAGACUCUACCUCUAACAACAUCACCAAUCAUCUACUCCUCCUUUUAAAUUCAUACUCUCCAAAUUUAUUACUCAAUUCAGAUACUAGUGACUCUUACCUAUAUUCAGCAUAGCUUCCUUUCUUUUUCAAUGAGUUCAGUGUCCAGCUCCCCCUUUCCACCUCAUCUCCUGCCAUCCUACAAAAAGUGGCUUUGAGAUAUAUUUUGAUGGUUCCUCAUAUACCCUAACUUUCAAAUUCUUCAAUCUACUGAGUUCCCAUGCUCUGCUCCUCUACUCUACCUUAGCUACUCAUAGAGGUGGUCAUAUUUUUUAUCUUUCAAUCACCUACAAAUGUUCUGCUUCCAAGUUCACAAACUCUUUAAAAUCUCCUUAAUAUUAUUAGGAUAUAUAUAAUUUUAUAUUAUCAGAAUAUAUGUAAUAUUUGGUUAUACCACAUUAUUAAUCCUUAUCUAACCCUGUUCUUAAGCUUCAGGACCUCAAUUCCCUCUAUCCCUAAAUUUGUUUCCAGAUCAUCACAACUGCACUAAUUAUAUUUUCCUCUUUUCCUUAUCUGAACUCCUUCAUGAACCAAUUCAACUCUACCUCUCUGAAACAUUUGACACUGUUGAUCACUUUCUCCUCCUGGAUACUCAGUCCUCUCAAGUUUUCAUCACAGUUUCUCCUGGUUCUCUGCCUAGCCAAACACUCCUUAGUCUUCACUGAUGGUCCUUUUCCCAUUUCAUGCCCACUAACCUUGGGCAGAAUCCCCUAAGGAAGCCAGGCAUGAGAUUUCUUCUCUUUCCCCUCAAGACCAAGAGUUCUUAACCUGAGAUCCAUGAACUUGUUUUUUUUUUUAUAUUUCUACAACUCUUAUUUGAAUAUAAUAGAUUUUCUUCAUAAUCUUAUGUAUUCUUUUAAAAAUCAUGUGUUGGUUAUGGAAAUUGUUGUUAUAGGAAAUGAUAAGCAGGAUAAUUUCAGAAAAUGCUAGAAAGAUCUACAUGAAACUGAUGCAGAGCAAAAUCAAUAUUGUACAAUAAUCAAAUCUGAAAGACAUAGCUAAUCUCAGGAAUCCAAUGAUCUGGAACAAUUCAGAAAAAUUUAUGACAAAGAAUGUUAUCCACCUCCAAAGAAUGAACUGUCAGAAUCAGAUAUAGAUCAAAGCUUACUAUCUUUCAUUCUUGGAAGGGCUGGUUUUAUAUAAGUAUACUUUUACAACAAUUACUAAUAUGGAAAAAAGUUUUGCAUGACAAUAUAUAUGUAUAUAUAUGUAUGUAUAUAUAUAUGACCCAUAUCAAAUUGCUUAUCAUCUCCAAGAAGGGGAUCCUAUGUUUUCAGAAAAUGUAUGUUAAAAUUUAUUACAUGUAUUUGGGAAAAUAAAAUGUCUUUGAAUUUUAAAAAUUUAAAAUAAAAUAAUAUAAAAUGCCAUCAAAAAGAAGAAACAAAAACAGUAUUCCAAAAAAAGGUCCAUGAGCAUCACCAGACUACUGAAAAGAUGUAAGAUACCGAAAAAAUUAAGAACACCUCAUUGGGUGAUUUUAUCAACUCUCACAGGUUCAAUUAUUAUCUCUAUGCAAAUGACUUCCAGAUCUUUAGAGCCAAUCUUUGGCUCUUUUCUGAACUAUAGUCACAUUCCACAAACUGAUUUUUGUAUGUCUUAAACUAGAUGUCUAGUAAAAGUCUCAAACUCAACAUGUCCAAAAAUGAACUCAUUGCCUUCCCAAAAACUUUCCUCUCUUUCAAAUUUUCCUUUUUCUGUCAAGAGCACCACCUUCCUAUCACCUUACACCUAACUUACCUAACACCAUAAUUUGACUCUUCCCUCUUAUCCCAUAUAUUCAAUAUGCUUUCAAAUCUUGUCAUUUCUAUAUUCACAACAUCUCUCAUCCAUAUUCCUUUGUCUUCAGUCACAUAGCCAAAAUCCCUAUCUCUCGCCCUCAUCACCUCUCACCUAGACUAUGAUGAUAACAUUCUAACUAGGUCUUGUUUUAAAAAAAAAAUAUUUAAAAAAAGGAAGGGAUGUAGUCUAGAGGGGAGUAGGGGGGGAAAAGUCUCCCUGGCUCAAGACCCUCCCUAUUCCAAUAUGCCCUCCACUCAGAUACUGAAAUGAUCUUUCUAAAGUCUAAGCCUGACCAUGUGACUCUCUACUUAGAGAGCACCAAAGACUUCCUAUUAUCUCUAGGAUCAAAUAUGAAGUCUUCCAUUUGAACUUUAAAGGUCUUUAUAACCUGGUGCCUUCAAGUAUUUCACAUUUCCUUUCACUUACUUCCUAUCUGAUGACAUAUUAUUUUCUCGAAGGUCCAGUAAUACUGGUCUACUUGACUUUACUAAAACAUGACCCCCAUCUCCCACAUUUAUGGCCUUGCAUUGGCUGCCCUGGUGCCUAGGAUGCUCUCUAUCCUCACUUCUUCCCCUGGUUUCCCUCAAGGAUUUAGCUAAAAUCCUACCUUCUGCUUGUUAGCAUGGAAGCUUUUUGAAGGCAGGACCCAAUUCUGCCCUUUUUUUGGCUCCCUAGCAUUUAGUACCAUGCCUAGCAAGCCUUAAGUUCUUUUUUUCCAUUUAAAAAAUUUCAGUCACAAGUAGGAACAAUUUUUGACAAUUGUUUUUUGACAUUUUAGAAGUCAAAUGUUCUUGUUCCUGCCUCUCCACUCCCCUUCUGGAGGCAAUGAAUAGUCUGAUAUAGGUUAUACCUGUACUUUCAUAUAAUACAUAUUUCCAUAUUGCUCAUGCCAUAAUGAAAGAUAUGUGGCAUACAUACAAAAGAAAUCUCAUGAAGGAAAUAAAGUGGAAGAUGGCGUGCUUUGAUCUGCAGUCAGACUCCAACAGUUCCUUCUUUGGCUGUGGAGAGCAUUUUCAUCAUGAGUCCUUUGUGGUUAGCUUAGAGACUUGCUUUGCUGAUAGUGAAUUAGCCCUUCACAGUUGCUGUAUAAUAAUUUCUGCUACUGUGUACAUUGUUCUCCUAGUUCAAAGGAGAAAGGUGGACUUUCAUAAAGAGAUGUUGAAAGUUUGGGAUGCCCCUUUUUUUUUUAAGCUUUCAAUCAAUUGGAUUGGUAUUGAAUAAGGGAAAGUGAAGAGGCUUUCAAAAUGUCUCCAGAGGUACAUGGUGGGAAGAGGAUGUGGGGCAAGGGGGGAAAUGCUGUCAUUUUUGACAGUAAGAAAGAAGAAAGGUAGGCCACGUGUAGAAAUUAGUGAGCCAGAAGAGUGGAUGGGGUAUUAUAUUUGCAUUUGUGAAAUUUGGGACAAAUUAGAUUAUGAUACCCUAGAAGGAAGGGACUGAAUUUUUAUUUUUGCAUUUGUAUUCCCAAUGCCCAGAAUAGUUCAUUAUAUAGAGCAGACACUUUUAAAUGUUUGCAGAACUAUUUGUUGAACUGAGAAAAGGGAUGAUAGCAAUUGGGGUCACUGGUGUAGCUAUUCAGGUGAAUUAGAACAAGUAUGUGUUUGUGAACAAGUUAGUGAACACAAAGAUAGAGUUUCUGGAAGUUUUUUGGGGCAUUCACCUGCAAUAGUUGGGCUAGAAUCUGUGAAUCUAAGUUGCUAUUUGGAAAAAGCAAUCAUCUUUUUCACUUUAUUUGUCCCCAAAAUCUCCCUUAUAUUUCUCAGAUUUUCUUUCCUAAGAUUCUCUCAAUUGCCAUGUCUAUUUCCUUGUUAUAAAGGAAGGCUGUGUGGCAAGGGAUUGGAGGGGCAGAGGUAGGAGAUGAGGAAUAAGGGAGCAAAGCAGAGCAAGAGACCAUUGAUGAAGAAACCUAGGUCCAGAUGCUUUCAUGCCCUGAUUCUAGCCCAUUUUCCAAGGUUUAUAAACAUUAUGUCCUGUCAUUCACUCUAAUCCAGCCAAGGUCACCUUUAACUGUUUCUCUUAAACUACAUUCCAUUCCCUGUUUCCAAAAAAAGACUGACUUCCACAUGUGAAAAGAAUUCCUUUCUCAUGUAAGAGUCUUACUACCACUAGUUUCCUUCAAAGCCCAGUUUCUACAUGGGUCUUUCCAUAUCCCUCAGAGGCUUGAGACUCUCCCUACAAAAUUACUUUAUAUUCCUUGGUGUCUACGUAUAUUUAUAUGUUUUGUUGCCCCCAAGGCCCAAUCCAGCACUUGGCAUAUAGUAGGCACUUAAUAAAUGUUUGUUGUUUGACUAAUUGAUUAAUUAAUCACCCAAGGUCACUGUGAUAGUAUAAUGGAAGUGCCAAGAAUAAGAGGAUGCUAUGAUUUUGAGUUCAAUGCUCUUUUCCCUAUACCAUUCUAUAUAUCUAGAUUUGACUAAAGUAAAAACAAAAAGCAUCAGUAAAACUCAGUUUUUUUUAAAGAAAUGAAUCAAUGAAUUCCUAAAUGGAGAGGUAGCAGGAUACAUAAGCAUUUAUUAAGCACUCUGUGCCAGGCACCACAAUAAGCACUCUACAAAUAUUAUCUCAUUUGACCCUUACAACAACCCUGUAAGGCAGGUGCUAUUAUUAUCCACAAUUUAUAGCUAAGGAAACUGAGGCAAACAGAAGUUAAAUUACUUGCCCGGGAUCACACAGUAAGUUUAUGAGGCUAGAUUUGAACUCAGGUCUCCUUGAUUCAAGGGCCAAUAUGCUCUCCAUUGUACCACCAGCUGUCUUAUGUGCAUACACACAUCUUUAUAAUAUUUUCCCCAAAGGAUAGGACUUAGUAGGUACAGCAUCUGUCUAAGACAGAAAUUCAUACCCUAUUUCAGGUGUGGUUUUAGUUUUUGUCUCUACAAUUUUAGAUAAAAUCCACUGAUCUCAGGAGCCAAUCAUCUGAAGAUGAAUGCCUGAAAUGAGAUGAGAGAUUUCCAGACUAAUCUGUUUUCUUCUGACUCACUUAAAUCUUUAUACUUUUUGUUCCUCCAAUGGAACUACAUUUGCUUCAGUCCCUAAGAAUCACAGAAGAGGUAGAAAUUGAAGACUAAGAAAAAGAACUGGGAAUUUAGGGUCCAUUCGAUUUUUUUUAAACCCUCAUCUUUCAUCUUCGAAUCAAUACUCUUCCUAGGUAGAAGAACUGUAAGGGCUAAGGCAAUGGGGGUUAAGUGACUCACUCAGCCACCUAACUGCCUUCCAGAGUCCCUUAGAGUAAAAAUAAUUCUUCCAAUUCUAAAUUUUCCCAGUAUAUGGGAGUCAUGAAAAUGAGGUGAGUGGGAAAGGACCCUAUGGGAAAGUAUCCUUUUGCUUGGCUUGUGUUGACAGACUUUGGCUGUAUUGAUCAGUUUUGCUAAACUUCUUUUCUCAUUUUUCUUUGUUACAAGGGAUAGUAUGCUUGGGAGGGGGGGAAUAUAUUCAGAAAUGAAGGUAAUUUUUAAAUUUUUUAUAAAGGAAAUAGAUGAGGCAGCUAGAUGGCUCGGUGAAUUAAGAACUAGACCUCAAGACAUGAGGUCCAGAGUUCAAAUUUGACCUCAGACAUUUUCUAGCUGGGUGUCCUUGAGCAAGUCACUUAUCCCCAUUGCCUAGCCCUUACCUGUCUUCUGCCUUGGAACCAAUACAUAGUUGACAAAGCACAUAAACAUAUACAUAUACAUAUCUAAGACAAAAGAUAAGAGUUUUUUAAAAUAAAAAAAUAGAAAAAAAUGAACUACCUUUUUGAGAGCUGAGGGCAUGUAAGGAUUUAGUGGUUGCCAUGUUUAUUUAAUCUGAGCCUACUUAUUGAUGAUGUCUUAGACUGGUGCUGUGUCUGAUAGUCAUGUAUAUCCCCAUAGGUUUGCAGAGUAGAAUGGUUGCUGCCUAGAUCUAAACUUUCUCGAACAUUUUGAGUCAAUACUGUUGGGAAAAGAGCAAAUGUGCUUAGUACUGAAGCAAUAAUACCUGGGAAUUUGAAAAACCCUCCCCAAGUUCAGCUUUGAUCAUUUACCACCAUGUCAACGUAGAAGAGAUGCUAGCUGCUAAGACUAACAAGAAGGUCUCCCAGGAGGCAGUAGGCAAGAGCUAGACACUGUGUCUGGGGAAGACAGAGAAAGGUCAGGAGAAGAGAGGAACUGGGCUACCUAAUUUCCAGGAAGAUGAAGAGAAAGUGAGACUUAUGGCAGAUUUAGGAGACUGGAUUCAUAAUGGGGGCUAAGAGAGUGUUGAGGAAGAACUAUCAAUGGAUGUUCCCUGAACAUCUUUGACAUUAUAUACAAUCUACAAAUGAUUUCUAUCCUCUGUCCCUCCAAAUGGUCCCAAGUCCUGUCCUCUGCUAUAUACAAAUGAGCUAUAAUAGAGGAAUAUGUACAUGCAGGCGCUGUGCAAGCAUUAGAAACAAAACACAUCUUGUGUGUUUAUAUCCAAAAUUCCAUUCUCUUGAUUCUUCUCUAUUUGUCAUCUGGAGAUCAUAUUGUCAACUCUCUUCAUUUUUAUUUUCCGAUAAAAAAAAUAAAGUUCUAAAUAAAUUAAGUACUAUUAGAGAAGUGUAUUCCAGGGACACACACACACACACACACACACACACACAGAGGAAAGUGAUUCCCACCCCCACCCCCAUUCAGUUGAUAAGGCACUAGACUGUGACAAACCAAACCUUAUCUGAGCUGAGCAACUAUAUUUCUAGGACCUGUGGGUGAGAUCAGGUUUACAGUCAUAAGAAGGAAAGAACUCAGUGAUCUCUCUUUGAGAGUAGGAGGGAGUUUGUUGAAGGUAGAAGAAGAAUAGACUAGAACCCAGGAAAUUCCAGCCCCAAAAACUAAACAUAAGUGGUGUGGCUGGGUUUGCCCUGGGGGAGUGAAACAGAGUCAGGCAAGAAGGAGAUGACUAACCAAGACUGGGGUCUGCUAAGAAGAAUAAAGUUAAGUUGGUUUUUUUUUAACCCUUUCAUAUUAAAAUCAAGACUGUGUAUUGUCUAGUAGCUGUUUAAGGCAGAAGAGUGGUAAGGGCUGAGCAAUGGAGGUUAAGUGACAGCUAGGAAGUGUUUUGAGUUAAAAUUUGAACCCAGCACCUCCUGUCACAAGGACUGCAUCCAUCCCCUUUCUCAGAGACAUAUGGAAAAGAAAACAUUUCUUUAAUGGACCCAACAGGGAAGAUGCAGCUAAAGGCCAAGAGGAACAUGAGGCUUCCACUUCUUCAGUUUAUUAUGCCUUCUCUUUUCUUAUUUCUCGUCAAUUUUCAUCAACUGAUCAAGAGCAUCUAUUGCUCCUAGGUUUAAAAAAAAUCAGCAUUGUAGAAGAAACAAGCUGAAUUGGAAAUGGUACUGAAAAUGGACUUGGAUAUUUGAAGUGGCAGUGGGAGAAGGAAGAAGGAGAAAGAUUUCUCUCCCUACAAUGUCUUCAAAAUGAACUUGCUUUGGGAUUCAGAGACCAGUCUGGAAAAACACAAGUGAAAAGAAGGAAAGCAUAAAUAUUGGAUCCUAAGAUGAUGCUGAAAUAAGACCUUAAUGUGAACCUCUCAACUGAAUGGUCACCACAAUAGUAGCCACCUCUGAGGCUUUCUAUGGAGUGGGUAUUCCCUCCCCUGGAGACUCAGUUAGGGUCAAAUUUGAGCUGCCAUGUUUUUCAUCAAGGAAUUAAGAAUAAAGGGAAAUGUCCAGAAAAUAUGGGUUGAAAUCAAAAUUCUACACUAGUGAAAUCAACCUGUGUAUAAUGAAAGACUAGGAUCAGUCAGGAGGCAAUCACCAAGGAGAAGAAAAAGCUAAAACAUUCCAGAAGCUUUACUAUAUUAUGAAUCAUUUGUAGUCUUGUAAAAACAAAAUGCAAGAAGUGAUCUGUGAAUGACACAAAAUUGUAAAGGCUGGAUUUCAUCUGUCACAAAGUCUACCUUUAUCCAGUCUUUUCAUUUCAAUUUCCAUGACGAGGACUCCAAAAACUGCAAAUAGCACCUGCAUUGGCAAGCGCGCUAAGGAGCAAAAUUCCUAAGCAGAGUACCAGAAACCUUCUGUCUCCAAAACUUCUGCUUUCACAGGAAGGAAAUUAACUUAAAGAUGAGAACAUUGAAGGGAAUAAUGAGUGUAGAAAAAAAUGGGAACGGACAGGGGAAGGGAAGAGAAGAGAGGAAAAGAGAAGAGGAAGAAAGGAGAAAAAAGGACGAAAGGAGGAGGGAAUGGUUCUAAAGGAAAAUUUGCUGAAUCCACAUUUCCAUGCUUGCUUCUCUGUAGAAAGUGGAACCUCCACUAUAGCCAAGUCCCAUACCUAUAAAAAAUAAAUCGAUGCCACCUCAAAACAAAGGAAAAGUGGAAGAAUGCAACUUGGUGGAGUAAGAAGAGAGAGUAGCCCAAGCAACACAGAAUCAGUGAGAACUGGCAGAAUUUAGAGUAGCCUGCCACACAAAUCUACUAGAGACAACAAAGCUACAAAAUGAGUAGGAUUCCAGCCCGAGCAGGAAUGCAGAAAAGGAAGGAAACUCCACACUCCUACUUGACAGCAGAGCCCAGGAGGCUGCAGGGGAGAAGAAAGGGGAACCAGCUGAACUUCAGGAAACUCCGCACCCCAACAUGGUAGCAGAGGGCCUAAGGCAAGGGACCCACUUGGCAGGAGCAGAGAAGCAGUAGAGUGGAGAGCACCCCAGCCCACAAAACAACAAGGUGCUGAAUAUAAAUGGACAAAAGUUGCAAACCUCCCCAGAGCAAGGCAGCAGGACCACCUCCUCAAAAUAUACACUGUGAGAAACAAAAGUAGCCAGCCAUACCCCAAGUACCAGAGAAUGAGUACUCUAGAGGCUUGAAGGAGUCCACACAGAAACAGAGAAGAGCCUCAAUAAGUAGAUAUGGUAAUGGAGGGGUGUAAAAAUUAAAUUUAUAUCUCCAAUAAUACAAUUUUAGGAGGUUUAUUAAAUAAUCAUUAGAAAUCAAGGAAUAAAGAGGAUACAAAAUAAAAACCACAUGCCCAUGGCUGAUUAUCCCAUUUGAAAUCCCCACACUUAGCUUACCACCAUACUUACUGCAUCAUUGCAGAGGAAGAGAGAAGGUGGGAGGCAUUACUAUCAGUUAAAUACCAAUAACAUGAUCUUACCAACAUGGAGACAUGGGAAAGAUUAUAGGGAAUUCUGGGAAAUAACAAGGACUUCUGGGGAAUGAAGUCUAAGGUUCAAAAUCUCCAUUUAUACAUUCCCCCCUGAGACCCAUGGAAGACUAGUCUCUCCAGUAGGUCUUGUAAACAUACCAGCUAUGAAAUUACAAUAAUUUGACGAUAGAGGAAGAGAACAAAACCAAUAAUUGCUAGGUGCAUUGACAAAAAGCCAGUUAGGGGGCAAUCCCCUUCAGCAUAAGAGUAUACAUACAAAAUAAAUGCAUUUAAAACCCCACGCAGUUCAAAUAACCACAUUCCAAAGUUCACUCUGGAUCUUCUGGUGCAGCUUGUGGUCUGUGGAGGCAUCUCUAUGGUAUCUUCUCCAAACAGUUCACUUUCUGGAUUCAAAGAGGUAGUAUGUUUCUUAACCUAAAAUUACUCUCAAAAGGAAUGUAAAAGGAAUUUAAAAUAAUAAUUAUACAUACCCUGCCCCUGAAGAAGGUGAUUGAGAAACCCAGGGAUCACUUAGGGAUGCAUAGCUGAGUUAUAAGAUAUAUGAAUCAAUUGGCAAGAGAAAUCAAAAAUAUUUAAAAAUCUAAAUAAAAAAGAUAAUUUCUGGAUGAAAUGUAAACUAUCAAAGUAUUUUGUGUAAAAUUUCUAAGUAAAGGAAAAACAAAUCUAUAACAGGUCCUCGAAUCAGGGCCCAAUGAUAUAAGCAAUUAAGCAUUUACCUAAUCAGUAGUCAGAACUAUAGAAAGUUUGCCACACCAUAAAAGACAGAAAAGGGACUAGAUUAUAGGAGCCAGGUAGGAGCCAAAUUUGAGAUACUUGGUAGAAUGUGGGACAAGGAAGACCUGCCUUUAACACAUGUUAAAUAGCUACAAUCUCAGACCCUAAAAAAGUUCAAGUCCUCUUGUCAUGGCUCAAAAUUUUCAUCAAUGCCAUAGGGAUUGGUUGGUUUCUUUGACCUUGUGCUCAAUUGGCAUUAUGCAGUUUAGCUUUGUGCUUCUUUGGCACUGUACAAUGGCUAUUUUUGUAUUCUCUUGUCCUGGAAUCAGACAGAAUCAUUAAGCAAAGUCCCAUAAUUUUUUUAUUAAUUAAUGGCAUCAUUUUUAUAGUCUAAGGCUUUUGGCAUAUGCAUUGACAUUAGGGCCAAUAUAUUUUAAACUUAUAUUGCUGCAAAAUCAAAAGAGUUAAAUACAAUCUUUUCAAUACUGAUGAUGUGAUUCAAAUACAAAAAGGAGAGAAAAAAAAUUAAAAAACUGAAAUAGUAUAUUGCACAUGCAAGCAAAAACAAUAAAAGAGUUUUAAAAAUAAAAAAUAUAGCUUAUAAUCAUUGACACACUGUGUCAGCUAAGGAAAUUUAGAGUACAAAGGUUUCUCACCAAAAAUGAGAUCCAUUUCCUCUUCAAACCUGGCCAUGAUCCACUGUGAGUGCAAAGGAAAUUAUUUUCACAAAGUAACAGUUUUUUAUAAAGAACAGCAUGUAAUGCACAUUCAAAAGUAUCAGAAUCCCCAAAGUUAUAAGAGCCUAUUUAAAAUCCCCACACUUGGCUUCCCACCAUACUUGCUGCAUCAUUGCAAAGGAAGAGAGAACGUGGAAGGUGUUACUGCCAGUUAAAUACCAAUAACAUGAUCUCGCCAACGUGGAGAAGCAGGAAAGAUUAUAGGGAAUUCUAAGAAAUACCAAGGACUUCUGGAGAAUGAAGUCUUAAGGUUCAAAAAUCUCCAUUUAUUGGGUUUUGUCAAUGCACCUAGCAAAACCUUUGUUUUACUGUCUCUCUUCUAUUUCCCUCUUUGACUAUUGUAGUUUCCUCUUAGAAGGUGAAGUUUUGUAUGCACCUGUAGUUAGAAAAUUUUAGAGGUACAAGAUGGUUGUUUAGUGAUCAGUUCGAGAGACUGGUCCCCCAGUCAUCAUCAGGAAGGAUUGUGAAUUUUAGUUUUACUCCACCCUGCUUAGUCUUUAGAAUUCUAGCAACCAGGAAUGUAUACACUCCCACUUAUGGAUUAAGUCGGGGGAGGAAAGGCCUAUGACCUGUGUGUGCUAGCAAGUGACGAAUCAGAAACAACUGACUGACCACUUGGGCUGUCCUAAACCAAAUUUAAGCCACCAUGGUACAUGUGCGACACAGGAAAUGAUUUAAAGAACUGCCUUUAUAUUUCGCGUCACUUCCUGUGAGAGGGAUUUUUUGCAGACUUGGCUGUGGGACUCGACCCUAGAGAAGCUCAGCAUGAAACAUCAGACUGUUUUCUUUUAGCCAGUCACAUGGUAAGUGAUAAGGUUGGCUCCCCCUUUCCUUGGCUUUCUGGAGAGGCCCCUUGGCCAAGGCCUCUGAACUCCUGCCUGUCUCAGACAGGAUAGAGCAGAUCAAUUCCCUUUUCCCUCUCUCCUUCUUAAUUUCUUCCUUCUAUUGUAAAUAAACAACCAUAAAAUUCCA